rnacentral:rRNA from 1 species
UACAGAGACUGCAAGCGUUACUCGGAUUCACUGGGCGUAAAGGGCGCGCAGGCGGACCGGUGUGUCAGAUGUGAAACCCCAGGGCUCAACCCUGGGACUGCGUCUGAAACUGCCGGUCUAGGGACUCGGAGGGGCUAGUGGAAUUCCUGGUGGAGCAGUGAAAUGCGUAGAUAUCAGGAGGAACACCAACGGCGAAGGCAGCUAGCUGGACGAGAUCCGACGCUCAGGCUCGAAAGUAUGGGGAGCAAAAAGG